CCGGUUGAUCCUGCCGGAGAUCACUGCUAUUGGGGUCCGACUAAGCCAUGCGAGUCGAGAGGGUUCGGCCCUCGGCAAACGGCUCAGUAACACGUGGGUAACCUACCCUCGGGACAGGGAUAACCCCGGAAAACUGGGGAUAAUACCUGAUAGGUGGAUAUGUCUGGAAUGACUUUCCGCUCAAAUGCUCCGGCGCCUGAGGAUGGGCCUGCGACCGAUUAGGUUGUUGGCGGUGUAAUGGACCACCAAGCCUGCGAUCGGUACGGGCGUUGAGAGACGUAGCCCGGAGAUGGGAACUGAGACACGGUCCCAGGCCCUACGGGGCGCAGCAGGCGCGAAAACUCCGCAAUACACGAAAGUGUGACGGGGGGACCCCAAGUGCUCUCGCGCAAGCGAGUGCUUUUGUGAAGUGUAAAUAGCUUCACGAAUAAGAGCUGGGUAAGACCGGUGCCAGCCGCCGCGGUAACACCGGCAGCUCAAGUGGUGAUCAGUAUUAUUGGGCCUAAAGCGUCCGUAGCCGGUUUGGUAAGUCCUUGGGCAAAUCCUACCGCUUAACGGUAGGACUUCUGAGGAUACUGCUAGACUUGAGGCCGAGAGAGGUCGGAGGUACUCCUGGGGUAGCGGUGAAAUGCUAUAAUCCUAGGGGGACCACCAGUGGCGAAAGCGUCCGACCAGAGCGGGCCUGACGGUAAGGGACGAAAGCCAGGGGCGCGAACGGGAUUAGAUACCCCGGUAGUCCUGGCUGUAAACGCUGUGGGCUAGGUGUUGCAUGCUCUACGAGGGCGUGCAGUGCCGAAGAGAAGUUGAUAAGCCUACCGCCUGGGAAGUACUAUCGCAAGAUAGAAACUUAAAGGAAUUGGCGGGGGAGCACCACAAGGGGUGAAGUCUGCGGUUUAAUUGGAUUCAACGCCGGAAAUCUCACUGGAAGCGACGGCAGUAUGAUGGCCAAGCUGAUGACUUUGCUUGACGAGCCGAGAGGAGGUGCAUGGCCGUCGUCAGCUCGUACCGUAAGGCGUCCUGUUAAGUCAGGCAACGAGCGAGACCCGUACCUUUAUUUGUCAGUUAUUCCCUGCGGGGAAUGAGACCCAUUAAAGGAACCGCUGCUGAUAAAGCAGAGGAAGGAGCGAGCAACGAUAGGUCAGUAUGCCCCGAAUCCUCCAGGCUACACGCGGACUGCAAUGGCUGGUACAAUGGGCCACGACUCCGAAAGGAGAAGUAAAUCCUGAAAGCCAGUCUUAGUUCGGAUUGUGGGCUGUAACUUGCCCACAUGAAGCCGGAAUCCCUAGUAAUCGCGUGUCAUUAUCGCGCGGUGAAUACGUCCCUGCUCCUUGCACACACCGCCCGUCACACCACCCGAGUGAGGUUUAGAUGAGGCCAUGACCUCUGGUUGUUGUCGAGUCUGGGUUUUACAAGGGGGGUGAAGUCGUAACAAUGUAACC
rnacentral:rRNA from 1 species